ACUGUCGCAUACAAAGAAAUUUUUUAAAAUUUAAAAUAUUGGGGUUCUAUUGUCGGUGGAGUUCUACGGUCGCCAUAACGGCGGAUUGUCCUCCCAUCCGCCAGGUGGCGCGAGUGUCUUCGUGAGGAAGAAAUAUUUGCCAUUUGUUUCCGAGACGCUGACUUGAACGUGUCUUCCAAGUUGAUUGGUGUCGAUCUACAGUUUUAGCCAUUAAAUGUAAUUGGCAAUCUGGCAUAUAAUUUCACUUGGCCAAAUGUGAACUGAUAGUUGAUCGCUACAGAUUUAGUUAAUGACUAGAGAGUAGACCCCUUUGCUUCUCUGUUGCAAUUAUGAGUUAAGACCAUUAUUGAAAUGUGGAUUACAUUUGUUAUUUUCAAGUUGGAAAACUUGACAACUACAAAUUCCUUUGUAAGAUUUAUCAAGCCAGGUGAAGUCUGCGCUUCUUUGUUGCAGUCUAAUGUGUGCAUGGAUUUGUUGCAGUCAUCCAGUGAAAGGUGUGAUUAAAUUGAGCUGUUGCAUGCAGUCUUCGGUGCUGAUGUUGUCCUGGAGUGUGGGAGAGUCCCAUGCUUCAAGUCUUCUGGGAUCAGUCAUAUCUGAGUUGACGCUGGAUCAUGCUGCAUUGUGGUUGCUGAAAUGUUGGACAUCUAGUAGAACUGCAAGAAGACUCCAUGAAAUGUUUUAUGUUUACGUAGCAGUGAUGUUGCUGUCCAAUAUGGCAUGUUGUUGCAGCCUAUACUGGUGAAAGAUUUUUUGCAUCGAGUUAUGCUGUUGCUGUUCCUUGGUGCCGGACUGCUGGUGUUGUGCACAAAAGUUACAUCCAGUUUAAAUUGUUAUUUGUGUCUAUGCAGUUAACCGUUUAUAUGUGGAAAAGGAACAGAAAAGUUCCUUGGUGUUGAAUCGCUGGUGUUGUGCUACAUAAGUUACAUCCAG